AAGGCNAGUUGGUAGAGCGCCGGACUGUUAAUCCGUAGGUCCCUGGUUCGAGCCCAGGU
rnacentral:tRNA from 1 species